CGCACUCCUCGUCUUCUCCAAUCGACACACCCCGCCGCUCUGACACGGGCGCAUCAACGCCGGAGCUCCCCUGCUCAGCUUUGCCGUGCUGCUCCCUUGCUCUCCCGCACGUCCUCCUCCGCUACCGGGGAUGCCUACGCCGCUGCUCCCUCCUGCCUCGCGUAGCUCCCCUGGCCCCCUUGCCUGCCUCCCAAAUCUCCCCUCUUUCACCCCCAAAGUCGUUUCUUCUUUCUCCCGCUGCGUCUCCUGCUUGCGCGCUGCGGCGACACCUCCUCCUCGUUGCCCCCGACGCCGGAGGAGGCACGGGGCAAGCAGCAGUGUCUCGCGCUGCGCUUGCGCCACCCCGGGUGCGCGUGGGCCUACGCGCCGGUCGCCGCCUCGGCCGUGCGCCAGUCCGCAAAGGAGGAGGAAGGGGAUUCCGUUCGCCGCCAAGGCGUACUGGGUAUGCUCCUCGAGUCCCCGCUCUUCAGGCCCCUCCUCACCUCCCUCAUCAAGAAGCAGAACAACAUGACGCAGAUGCUGCAGCGCACGGGGAUCCCUGACCGGCCCAUGUUCUUCCCGGAGUACAAGCAAAAGCAGCUAUGAGAAACUUUUCAUUCAGUCAAGUUCUACUGAUUUUUGGUCUUCUUGAAUUUUGUAUAGUUGAGAUAGAUGUUCUACUUCUUUCAUUCAGUCAGGCUCUACUGAAACAUUUUGCAGAAACAAUGUUCUGCUGAAACUGAAAAAAGGAACAUAAACAUAAAUGUUCUGCUGAAACUGAAAAAAGGAACAGAACCACACCUGAAUAAUUUGUACUCCUCCUUAAUUCUUCAAUACAUUUAAAAAUGUUCAGACUUUGAAUGUUCACUGAAUUAGUAAAUCUUGUCUUUCCUAAAAACUGAAUUUGUAUAUUAAGUCUUUGCUAAAGAGAAAUAGUAAAUCCUAUCAUAACAAAUGUUCAUUCAGAAGUGUUAAGAAAUCUUCAGUUUUUUAUCCUGAAAUGUUCAAUUUUUUGCUCUCUAAAUUGUGUGCCUUUAUUGCUCAUUCAGUGCUCAGUACAGUAUUCAGUUUGAGUAAAAUUCAGUUCGUGUGGUGAGUUGAAGAGCAUUGCUCCCUGCCUUGCUAUGCCUAGUUAUGUUAACUACAGUAUCAUUGUCUACUUUGGGGUCUUUUUGUGGUGAAAGUAUGGGUCUUUUUGUAUGGUGGCAAGAUGACUAGAUGGAUUCAAAUAAAUCUAGCUAAUUCAAAUAAUUCCAAGUUAAUAAAAAUAAAUCCAAAUUAAUUCAAAUAAUUAAGAAUAGGAAUAAGAAUAAUUCAAACUAUUUCAAAUAAUUAAGAAGAAGAAGAAGAAAUCAAAUAAUUAAGAAGAAGAAGUACGGCGAGGUAUUCGUAAUGGCGUCAAGUCACCCUUGCCAUAUGGAUCAUAUGUAACUCUUGCUGCUAGCCUAGAGGAGUACAUUUUCGUGCUUCAAGUCUGAACUUAUGUAUGGAAAAUGCAUGCUUCGAGUCUGAACCGAUGCACUCCAUUUUGUGGUGAUUAGUUGCCACUUCUGUAUGCACUAAGAAAAAGAAGCCUGAACAUGGCAUGCAUGCUUUCUUGUGGUGUUAGCAUCCCAGCAUUGAUCAACACAGCUUGUCCUCACAAGCACAUAGAAAAUGACAGGUUCUGAACACCAAGUUGACAGGUUCUGAACAUCAAGUUGACUGAACACAGCUUGUCCUCACAAGCACUUUAUUUGUUUUAUGAAACUUCUUGUAAUAUGCAUAGAAAUGUAUAACAAUAAUUGGAGUAUUUAUGAUGAUCAAAGUGUUUCUUACUCAAGUGUAAUUUGUUGAGCUAUUGCUACUGCUUAAUCAAACAAUGCAUACCAAUCUGCUCCUGCUUAUGUUUGGGACUUUGGGGUGCUGCAUCGAUGUGCAUCAAACAUGAUUAAGUUUUUUUUGCUGUGAUAAUCCAAAAUGCUUCAGACUGCUAGAUUCAGUUUCUAGUGAUAAUCCAAAAUGCUUCAGACUGCAUAAAAUGCUUCUUUUGCUGUGAUAAUCCAAAAUGCUUCUUUUGAGUACAGUAGCUGUCAAAUUUAGCCUAUCUUGAUCUUGGGCUUGAGAGCUUCUUUAGCAAGAUCACUGGAUGCAGUGUACUCUGCUGGAGCUUCUUUAGUCUAUCUUGAGCUUGAGCUUGGGAGCUAUCUUGAGCUUGCGAGUAUAGUUGUACGUUUGCUCACAAUGGUGUAUUGAAAAUUGCAAGUUAUAUAGUGUAGUGUUUUGUAAAUUCAGACUAGAUUUGAGCAAGAUAAACUUUACUGUUAUGAUUGAUAAAGAAAACUUUAGUGUUAUUUAGAUUCAGAGCAAGUAAAGGAAAAUUUAAUAAAAGUUAGUCUUGAGGAAUCUGGUGGAAUCAUAUUGCUUGUUUCCAAAAUAAAUUGAUUGAUUGUGCACUGAAAAUUGAUUGAUUGUUUUAGCAAAUUUAGAUAUGUUUAUUUGUUGUUAGAAGAAUCUUUGACUAGUUACAAGACAUUCCUGAUCUGUUAUUUUUUAACUUUGCAAAUAAUCUAUUUCAUUCAAACUACAGCUGUGCAACAAUGAAGCAUAUAAUCUACUGCAGUUUGAUCUACUGCAAAUUACCGAAUCAAUUGACAACUACUCCUGGUUAUCAAUUUGAUCUUCAUUUGCAUAAACCUGACCAAGCAAGGUCCGGCACUGGAGAUGAAAAAGCAAGGAGCCUUGUACUUCUUUCUUCUCACCGACAGCAGCACGAACAGGGGACCUCCGGCGACAGCACACGAGCAGGUGACCUCCGGGCAACAACACGAGCAGGGGACCAGUAGCAACUUGCAGAGGAGCAGGGGAAAGAGCUCGAGCUUGAGAUCCAGGACAAGCUUGAGGGAUCUCAAGGUCCAGGCGCGGCCGGAACUCGCGGUCGAGGCGCUCGACACCCAGGCGCGCGCAGGUCCUGGCCGGCGGUGGCGCAGAUCCUGGUGGAGGGAGGGGAUAUCGGCCGCGCAGGCCUGACGGCGGCGGCCCAGGUCCUGGGUGGCGGAGGAGAACGUCCUUCGCAGCGGCGGAGCAAGCAAUUGGGUGGCCCAGGUCCUGGCGGCGGAGGACCACGUACUUGGCGGCGGCGGAGCAAGCAAUUGGGCGGCGCAGGACCUGGGCGUCGGAGGAGCACGUCCUGGGCGGCGGCGGAGAAAGCAAUUGGGCGGCGCAUGUCCUGGGAGGCGGAGGAGCAAGCCCUGGGCGGCGCCAGCGUAGGUCCCCGGCGCCGACUUGCCCUGGUGACGCGCGCGGGCGACGGACAGAGGAAGAAGGAAGGAAACGACGACCUGUUUGUAAUAGAUUUUAAGCUACGAGGGCGUUUUUGCAAAAUUCACAGUACACUAAGCUGUGGACAACUUUUCCCAGACGGAGGGAGUAUAUUGCUAUUGCUUUCUU